rnacentral:rRNA from 1 species
AUUGAACGCUGGCGGCAGGCCUAACACAUGCAAGUCGAACGGCAGCGGGGGGUAGCUUGCUACCCCGCCGGCGAGUGGCGGACGGGUGAGUAAUGCCUGGGGAGCUGCCCAAUCGAGGGGGAUACCAGUUGGAAACGACUGCUAAUACCGCAUACGCCCUGAGGGGGAAAGGUGGGGAUCUUCGGACCUACCGCGAUUGGAUGCACCCAGGUGGGAUUAGCUAGUUGGUGAGGUAACGGCUCACCAAGGCGACGAUCUCUAGCUGGUCUGAGAGGAUGACCAGCCACACUGGAACUGAGACACGGUCCAGACUCCUACGGGAGGCAGCAGUGGGGAAUAGUGCACAAUGGGGGAAACCCUGAUGCAGCCAUGCCGCGUGUGUGAAGAAGGCCUUCGGGUUGUAAAGCACUUUCAGCGAGGAGGAAAGGUGGCUAGCUAAUACCUAGUUGCUGUGACGUUACUCGCAGAAGAAGCACCGGCUAACUCCGUGCCAGCCGCCGCAGUAA